rnacentral:rRNA from 1 species
UACGGAGGGUGCAAACGUUGCUCGGAAUCAUUGGGCGUAAAGCGCACGUAGGCGGCUCGUUAAGUCGGAUGUGAAAGCCCUGGGCUCAACCCAGGAAGUGCAUUCGAAACUGGCGAGCUUGAAUAUGGAAGAGGGUCGCGGAAUUCCCGGUGUAGAGGUGAAAUUCGUAGAUAUCGGGAGGAACACCAGUGGCGAAGGCGGCGACCUGGGCCAUUACUGACGCUGAGGCGCGAAAGCGUGGGAGCAAACAGG